UUGAUUCAUUUUGUUGUUUUGCUCGCGAUGGAGCCGCUCAGAAUGUAACCGCUGUGAGAAACAGGAGAGUUUUGGUCCCCCGGCGGGCGCACGUUGUGUCCGGGCGGCCCCCUCGUCGCCGAGAGGACGCGCCACGGGGCGACCCCGCCGAAGCAACUGAAUAGGUAUGUUCACAUUGGGGUUUGGGAGCGUUAACUCGGUAAUGAUCCCUCCGCUGGUUCACCAACGGAGA
rnacentral:misc_RNA from 1 species